UUAGUGCACGAUACAAAGGGAAUUGAAAGUUCAGCCAAAUGCAGCAUAAACAAAAGGGUUUACAUUCUCAGUC